rnacentral:rRNA from 1 species
UGGGGAAUUUUGCACAAUGGGGGAAACCCUGAUGCAGCGACGCCGCGUGAUUUAGAAGGCCUUCGGGUUGUAAAAAUCUUUUUUACGGGAUGAAAAUGACAGUACCGUAAGAAUAAGGUCCGGCUAAAUACGUGCCAGCAGCCGCGGUAAUACGUAUGGACCGAGCGUUGUCCGGAAUCAUUGGGCGUAAAGGGUACGUAGGCGGCCUAGUAAGUUAGAAGUGAAAUAAUAUAGCUCAACUAUAUAAAGCUUUUAAAACUGCUAGGCUUGAGAGAUGGAAGGGAAAGUGGAAUUCCUAGGGUAGCGGUGAAAUGCGCAGAUAUUAGGAAGAAUACCGGUGGCGAAGGCGACUUUCUGGUCAUCAUCUGACGCUGAGGUACGAAAGCGUGGGUAGCAAACAGG